GUAUUAAAUUAUUAGCAUAGAUAAACCUGUAUUUUAUCCCAAAAAAAAAAAAACCUUGAAUUGAAUAAAAGUAAUGGGUUAAAGCCAAAAAUUCCUCCCCUACCCUUUGGUUUUACUUGCACUCAUUUCCCUCCUAAAUCUUCGAGCUUUGCAUUGACACUUUUGACAUGACAAGACAAUAGUGGCAGCGUCAACCCUCACGCUAUAGCACCACGAUCAUCCUAGUAUUAUUUGAUCAAAAUUUGGGGUUAAGAUCAUUUUCAAGGUGAAUUAGUACUCUAGAUCAUUUUCUGUUAAGAUCAAAAUUUGGGGUUAAUUUCUUCUACUGUCUAACAGUACUAUCGCGCAUCAAUCGGUGCUUGCGGACUUAGAAUGAGGCUGGGAAUGGAAGAAUAACAUGGUUCAUGCACAGAAAUGAUACCAGCAAAAGGAAAAAUACUUCAUACUGUUGCAAAGUAUCACAAAAAAGCUUAUCACUUCAGUGACUGUUGCAAGGAGUGUGCAGGGCAUCUGGGUAAGCAGGCUCUCAAUAACACAAAUCAAUGCAUUAAAAUUUUGGACAUAGAACUGGUCAGGGGUUGCGCGAACGCAGACCCCCACUAUCACAAAUUAUGACGUGCACUCUUCCUCUUGGGAAGAUGUUAGGCUAGCACCCCUCCAAGUGUGCAAUGGAGGCCACCAACCUAGGCCAUGAGCCUUCUUGAUCGCCCAUUGACCCCAUCCAGGCUGGAGAUGGUUGAGGCUGGAAUGAUCAGAAAUUUGAUAGAGGAUUGAAAGGUUAAACAAAGCAUACUGGUACAGCUUUCUUUCUCUUUUGGCAGUAAAAUCAAUUUUAGUAUCUAAUAUUAAGAUUUUAUCAGCAAAUCAGCGGAGUAGUUGAUUGUGGGUCAUUCACCCACAUUGAUGUUAGAUUAAUUCAAGGAGGAGACUCCAUAACUGUAGCUUGCUUACCUGGAUCUUAGAGCAUUGCCCAUGAAUUGCAUUACUACACGGGGUUAAUUCGUUAAAUACACCCCUAUGGCUCAGGGCUUGGAAAACAGUUUUAAAGGUGUUAGGCUGUUGAAACUUACUCUAGCAAUUUUGACAACACCAGUGUUUGUUGUAUACAACUCUUUUGUCAACGGCAUGUAUGCUUAAUCCUUUAGUUAGGGUCCAUAUCUACACUUGAAGUAUAAAACCAGUAUCUUAAAGAGCAUUGAGAGCACUUCCAAAGCAUACCUUGUCAUUAUUUAAAACGAAAUUGAUAAUUAGAUGGAAUUAUAUGAGUUGUUAGUAAUUUAGAAUGGUAAUAGAAAAACAAAGUUUGGAAUGAAAUUCUAGCAACAUGUGUGUAAAUUUGGUUCACAUUAAACUAAAUAUGAGUAAGUAUCUCUUUCAAAAAAAUAUGAGUAGGUCAUCCACCUCAGAGUUUAUAAAUUUUUUUUUAUCCAAUUUGGUUUUAAACACUUCAAACAAGGUCAAAUGGAGUCAUCUUUGCUAGCUGUUCAGAAUGACAGGAAUUGUUUCAUGUCAGAGUAGUGGAGCUUAUUGCCAAAUUUCCCCUCUAUGGUGGAUCAAUCCUAUUUCUUGUACUGUGUAUUGUCUGAAUGGCUCUGAAGUUAUUUUCAAAAAAAUAAAAACAAAUAAGAAACGCAUAGUCUUAAAGUCACUCGUACUUGGUGACAAAUCGGAGAAUUUUCGAAAUAUUGGUGAGGUUUGUAUUGGAACAUGUACUAAUGGUACUCUUGAUGUUCUUAGAAAGUAGUUUACUUAAAAGAUAGGGCAUGGUAAUUUGAGAUUUGCAAAUUGCUAGGUUAUUGGAGGCUGAUAUGGCCAUAUAGGUGUGAAACUGGAUAUCCCACAUUGAAUAAAUAUGCAGAUAACACUUUGUUUAUAUUGCACAAGCUUCUGUUAUGAAUUGUCUCUUCGGAGACAUCUGAUAAAAUUGGAACGAUACAGAGAAGAUUAGCAUGGCCCCUGCGCAAGGAUGACACGCACAAAUCGAGAAAUGGUCCAAAUUUUUUUGACCUUUUUGCCCCUUCUUUGUGUUUUGCUUCUAUUUUUUUCUAAUUUUUUUUUCCUUUUCUACCCCUCCAACAUCAAUCUAUAAUGUUUAUUCUUUUUGUUUUUUCCCCCUUUCUAAUAUUUCCUCUCUAGUCUGUUUUUCUUCACUUGAUCCUAUAUGUUGUUUACAGCUUAAUUUGUUUUCUGCUCUGAACUCUGAAACAUUAUGUACUUAAUUGUGAUAUGAUUAUGCCAUCUCUUCAGUUAUGAACUUAUGAUAGGGUUUACAAAAACAAAAACUAUGCUACCUCUUAACAUGCAUACUCUAUAAUUUGAUUCCUUUGUAGCUUUUGCUUACCAUAUGUUGGAUUAUGUUUCUGUAAGUUAUAUUUUGAUUACAUGGUGCUGUUAUUCAUAACCUUACUGCUUUAUUGCCUCAGAUACUAAAUCAAAGAAUUGACACAACUUGGGUGAGAACCAAAACAAAGGAGGUUUCCGCCUUUCUGGUGUUGUUCUUGUUCAUAUGCUUUGCAUACCCUAAAGACAACUAACAGACAGUACUUUUACCACUGUUGGUUAUUGGAGAUCUUUCAUGGUUGCUACUUGGUUACAAGUCAACUGCUUUAUUCUCUAGUCCCACACUGAUUAUUUACAAAGCUACUGGUCCCUUUAUUAAGCCUGGCUUCUAUAUAGGUAUUGUCUCUUCGGAGACAUUUGAUAAAAUUGGAACGAUACAGAGAAGAUUAGCAUGGCCCCUGCGCAAGGAUGACACGCACAAAUCGAGAAAUGGUCCAAAUUUUUUUGACCUUUUGCCCCUGCUUUUAAUGUGUAUCCAUGCGGACAUUUUCAAGUUUGAUAAUCCCACAUCAGAAAGAUGAAGGAAAGGUCAAUGCCACUUGGAAAAAAAAGAAGUAGAAUUCAAAGUGACCAGAGAAUGUGCUCGAACAGCUAGAGCUGAGGUUUGGUGCUGGCAAGAACAAGAAAAAUGGACUUGCAGUCUCUUCAGUGUAUUUGGUUUUCUCCUCAGUCCUGGUUGAUGGAACUUACACUUCUACAAUCACUACUGAGGCUGUUAGUAUAACUUUACUUUCACAUGGUCCAUUUAUUCUGCAGAUUUGUUCUGUCAACGCCAUGUUAGCAACGUUUGUUUAACUAUAGAGGAUACAUGCUGCAGGUUUUUAUUCUGAUAUAAUUAGAUAUGAUGCCACCUUGAGUUACAGUCCAACAUUUGUCCCUUCUCUCCUUAAUUUUGGGACUUUCGGGGCUCCUUUUAGCAGGGCCUAUAUCCUUCUCGAGUCCUUGUGCACGAUGAUGCCUCAAACUGCUGCAAGGUUGAACUAGAUAUUGGAUAGGGGCCGCGCGAACGCAGGCCCCCUCUAUCACAAAUUAUGACGUACACUCUUCCUCUUGGGAAGAUGUUAAGCAGGCACCCCUCCUAAUGUGCAAUGGAGGCUACCUGCCUAGGCCAUGAGUCUUCAUGAUCACCCAUUGACCCCGUCCAGAUCGUAGUGCUAUUCAGGUAGAGAUGGGAAGAUUUUCAAAGUUGGUGAUCCCACAUUGGAUAGGUGAAGCAUUAAGCCGAUACAACCAGAUAAUUAGUAGACUUUUGUGAAGCUAAACAAAUCAUACCUUUCUCGGCCUUAUGGCUAAGAUCAAGUGUAGUAUCUGUUCUUAUCAGUUUAUUAUCUGAUACGUGGGUCAAUGACCCACAACGAUACUAAAUUGGAUCCACCACAGUAGCUUGCUGCUGGGAUUCUCAAGUGUCGCCCAUGCGUUGCAUUACUGCACGGGCCUGGCACUCCCCACCAAUACUUAGUUCAAUUUAAUUUGUAACUGUCAUAAGUAUUUCAGCUUUUGUUGAAGCAGUUAUGAGUUUGUGAUUAUAUAAGCAUUUACUCCGUCCUUUGUAUAGUUUUUUCUAACGUAUGUUUUUGACAGUUAUGUAGUGCAUCAGAGUAAAAAAGUUGUAUUUGGAGUGGGGCAGAGGCCGCACAAACGCUGGUCCAUUGAUGCCACAAAUUAUGAGGUAUAGGUGUACCUCCUGAAGUGCAAUGGCGGCUACUACUUAGGCUAUGUUCCUAAUUGAUCACCAUAUUCACCCAUUGACCCUCUAGAGGCUAUUACCAUCUUCUUGGCAAUCAUUGAUGUGGGACAGUAUUUGCUGAGUGUUCCUUCUAUUUCCUGCUAGCUAAUCUGAAUUCUGAACAGCUCUGUUUUUUGCAAGGGGGUGUUAUCUGAUUUUUGAACAUUGGCUAAUUUUCUAGAAUGGGCAAUGAAUCACAACUGAUAAAGCUAUUUAGGACACUUCCGUUCUUGAAGUGAGGAUCAAAUUGUUAAAGUCAACAAGAAGCUAUUAGGAAUGGUGGUGUGGAGAGAAGUUCAAUCAAGUGAUUCAAUUGGGGGUAAAAGUGUUUGCUUAAGACUAGCAUGGAGCUUGGGUUUAUCACGGAGGAGGAAGCACGGCACGCUCAUCCUUUGUUUCAGGGAACAGACUUUGAAGAUUGGGACAGUAAGGCUGCCCUGCCCAUGGCCAUAAGAGCACCACACUUGUGUAGCCUCUUUUAAAGGGCAUUCACAAACACACUUUUAUUAUGAUAAAUGCUUGUAUCACUGAUUCAUCAUCAAUACUACAUCUUAGUGAUUACUUGGUUGAGUUGGUUCAAUCUCAAACCAUUAUGAUACAUUAAAACUUUAUGAAACACUACUCAUUUGUAGAAUAUUUUUUAUUUGGCUAAGAUGGUACACAGCAGAUAUGUUAUAUGUAACUCCUAAUGAGGAGGAUGAUGAAGAUUUA